UCUGGUGAUUAUAGCGAAGGGGUUCCACUCGUUCCCAUCCCGAACACGACAGUUAAGCCCUUCAGCGCCGAUGGUACUUGGGGUGCAGACCCCUGGGAGAGUAGGUCGUUGCCAGGC
rnacentral:rRNA from 1 species